rnacentral:rRNA from 1 species
UGUAAUUUGCAGAGGAUGCUUCGGGUACGGCUCCGGUCUAAGUUCCUUGGAACAGGACGUCACAGAGGGUGAGAAUCCCGUAUGUGACCGGCCGCCACGCCCGUGUGAAGCUCCUUCGACGAGUCGAGUUGUUUGGGAAUGCAGCUCAAAAUGGGUGGUAAAUUUCAUCUAAAGCUAAAUAUUGGCCAGAGACCGAUAGCGCACAAGUAGAGUGAUCGAAAGAUGAAAAGCACUUUGGAAAGAGAGUCAAACAGUACGUGAAAUUGUUGAAAGGGAAGCGCUUGCAACCAGACUUGCCCGCGGGUGAUCAGCCGGUAUUCUUACCGGUGCACUCGCCCGUGGUCAGGCCAGCAUCGGUUCGGGCGGCUGGAUAAAGUCCACUGGAAUGUAGCUCCCCUCGGGGAGUGUUAUAGCCAGAGGUGCCAUGCAGCCCGCCCGGACCGAGGACCGCGCUUCGGCUAGGAUGCUGGCGUAAUGGUUGCAAGCGACCCGUCUUGAAACACGGACCAAGGAGUCUAACAUCUAUGCGAGUGUUUGGGUGUCAAACCCAUGCGCGUAAUGAAAGUGAACGGAGGUGGGAACCCUCAAGGGUGCACCAUCGACCGAUCCUGAUGUCUUCGGAUGGAUUUGAGUAAGAGCAUAGCUGUUGGGACCCGAAAGAUGGUGAACUAUGCCUGAAUAGGGUGAAGCCAGAGGAAACUCUGGUGGAGGC